UGGGGAAUUGUUCGCAAUGGGCGCAAGCCUGACGACGCAACGCCGCGUGGAGGAUGAAGGUCUUCGGAUUGUAAACUCCUGUUGACCGGGACGAAUGGACGCAGCCCUAACAGUGCGGCGUAAUGACGGUACCGGUUGAGGAAGCCACGGCUAACUCUGUGCCCGCAGCCGCGGUAAUACAGAGGUGGCAAGCGUUGUUCGGAAUUACUGGGCGUAAAGGGCGCGUAGGGGCCCUCUUAGUCGGACGUGAAAUCCCCAGGCUCGACUUGGGAACUGCGUCCGAUACUGGAGGGCUCGAGUGCGGGAGAGGGAUGUGGAAUUCCAGGUGUAGCGGUGAAAUGCGUAGAUAUCUGGAGGAACACCGGUGGCGAAGGCGGCAUCCUGGACCGACACUGACGCUGAGGCGCGAAAGCUAGGGGAGCAAA
rnacentral:rRNA from 1 species